GACGAACGCUGGCGGCGUGCCUAAUACAUGCAAGUAGAACGCUGAAGGAGGAGCUUGCUCUUCUGGAUGAGUUGCGAACGGGUGAGUAACGCGUAGGUAACCUGCCUGGUAGCGGGGGAUAACUAUUGGAAACGAUAGCUAAUACCGCAUAAGAGUAGAUGUUGCAUGACAUUUACUUAAAAGGUGCAAUUGCAUCACUACCAGAUGGACCUGCGUUGUAUUAGCUAGUUGGUGGGGUAACGGCUUACCAAGGCGACGAUACAUAGCCGACCUGAGAGGGUGAUCGGCCACACUGGGACUGAGACACGGCCCAGACUCCUACGGGAGGCAGCAGUAGGGAAUCUUCGGCAAUGGACGGAAGGCUGAACGAGCAACGCCGCGUGAGGGAAGAAGGGUUUCGGAUCGUAAAGCUCUGUUGUAAGAGAAGAACGAGUGUGAGAGUGGAAAGUGCACACUGUGACGGUAUCUUACCAGAAAGGGACGGCUAACUACGUG
rnacentral:rRNA from 1 species